UUCGUAGGUGGUGCGGCAAGUUGGAAGUGAAAUCUCUGGGCUUAACCCAGAGGCUGCUUUCAAAACUGCCGCGCUCGAGUGCGAGAGAGGUCAGUGGAAUUGCAGGUGUAGCGGUGAAAUGCGUAGAUAUCUGCAGGAACACCCGUGGCGAAGGCGGCUGACUGGAUCGCAACUGACACUGAGGAACGAAAGCGUAGGGGAGACAAACAGGAUUAGACUACCCUGGUAGUCCUAGCCCUAAACCAUCAGAACUUGGGGUGGCCCGCGUAGGCGGGUCGUCCCGUAGCUAACGCGUUAAGUUCUGCGCCUGGGGAGUACGGUCGCAAGACUGAA
rnacentral:rRNA from 1 species